rnacentral:lncRNA from 1 species
GAGAGAGAGAGAUCCAAUUGUUUUCAUUUCUUUGUUUCCAGAAUAUGCUGGUACUGUCCACCAUCCUGAACCAAAGGCAUUAAAGCUGGCAGAAAAGAAUAUUAAUGGCGAUGCUAAAACCAUGUCACAGAAACGUGGUGGCUCCGUGGGGCAUAAAUUCAUGCAAAAGCACUUUCUGAAGCUGCUGUAGGCUGACAGUGUGCUCCCCCCACACACACUGCAUCUUUGAUUUCAUCAGCAACAAAAGAACAGCCAGCCGGCUCUGCAAGCAAGGUACACUGAGCGUAACAAACCUGAGGAGAGAGUGGCUGGCACAACUAGCACAUCUUUACACCCUUCUUGACAACGCAUGGCUGAAGAGGUACCCUUACUGCUCCUGCUAAGGAACAAAGCACAGCGUGAACUUGGCCUUUACAAGACAUCAGAGACUCUACCCAGCAGCUCCAUCUGAAGGUACACAGCCAUGGUUUCCUUGAUUCAGUUGCUCACUGCAUUCCCUGUUUACUCUCUGGCUAACUUGUAUGUAUGCUCAAGCAAACAAAGCGACAGAAAUAUGUAAUACAAGCAACCUUCCCCAUAGCAACAGAUGGAACAAAGCUGCUUUCUGCAGUGCUUCCUUCCCACAGGCUGGACCCUCCUCUUCCCUGAGGUUUGGGGUACCCCAAUGAAGCAGAAGAGCUGCUGGGCAAAGGGAAAGGGCAAACUUUCUUCCUUACUCUCACUGAGGGCAUCCACCCACAUUUCUCUUCCCAGCUCAGCCACUGAUUUUCAUCACGUUUUUCAGAAGUCAGUCUCAAUUUCUCUCCAGCUUCAGAUUGAACAGAAAUAAGAUGUAUUCAUUUUGUCAGGAGGGGACAGAUGGAUGAACUGACAGGCAAACAGGAAAGCUACAUGGUCCCAGCAGUUUUGUGCUCUUAAGAAACACUAAGGACCUGAGAAGAAGUUCAACCCAGAGAACUGAAAACAGCUCUUUCCUCUGCCCGAAACACUUUGGACGUACAGUUUGCACUGCCUGUAUUUUACUCAUUAUGGUGAGGACUUGAUUCCAAACUGACCUCAAUUUUCACUUAAUUAGCAACCUCGUUUGCAGUUCCUUUGAAACAUUUUUACCUAAUUCCUGGGGAUUUAGCCUCAUUCUGUUUCUCAUUAGAAUGAAACAAGCAUUAUUUUGAGGAAGAUGUUUCCCCUUUUGACAAAUGAUAAGAAAUCACACAAUCCUCCAGAUUUUAAAGAUGAACUAUAGAAAGCCUGGCAAUAGGACCAGGACCCUAAAAAUCUCUGCAUUAAUAAUACCCGACGCACACAGAAGGAGAAGAAUAA